ensembl:lncRNA
AGUUCAUUUGGAUUCUCUAUUUAAAGUCUCACUCUCUUUUGUUUUUAGAGACAAUCUCUACAAGACUCAUUUUAACACAAUGUUUGUUUGUUUUUUUUUUUAAUUGAGCUUAAAUAAAUCUGCUUGUGUUUUUUUUGAGGUGAAGCGGCUUUUAUGUGCAGACAGUUGCCUGUGCUCAAAACCAGCUGGAUACAAGGUAGUUCUUGUUCAAAAGUUGUGUGGCAGAGUUACUGGAAACAUGAGCUGUAGCUUCUGCAUCCUGUCUCUUGGUACAGAUUGACUGGAACAGACCGUGGGGAAAUAGAAGAAUUCUCUCACUUUGUGAAAACAAAAAGAUGUUCUGCAAAAGUAAUGGUGCCAAGGAGGAUAGUGACUAGAACUAAGUCUUCCAGGGCAUCACAUUGCCAGCCCUGCUCCAGAAUACUGAUGCAACCUCAGUUGGAACUGAUUGCAUGGAAUUUCACUGAAUUGAUGCUAGGCAUUGGGACAGGCUGCACAAGGAGGUGGAGCAGUCACCAUCACUGGAGGUUUGGACAUAAGAAUUUCUGAGUUUUGUUAUUUAAAGUGGGCCAGCUAUAGACUACUGCUUAUGGGCCACUGGUGUUCCAGAAAUCUGAGUUUGUGGAAUUGCUGCUGGGAACAGAACAAGAUUAAUAUGGAAAUCUAAAUGAUUUUGUAAAGCUGUAAAAUAAAAUAUAUUAAAAAAAUGUGUAUGUAAAAGGAAUAAAAUAACAAGUAUGUUUCUU